rnacentral:misc_RNA from 1 species
GAUGAAGAACGUAGCGAAAUGCGAUAAGUAAUGUGAAUUGCAGAUUUUCAGUGAAUCAUCGAAUCUUUGAACGCACCUUGCGCUCCCUGGUAUUCCGGGGAGCAUGCCUGUUUGAGUGUCAUUAAAUUCUCAACCCCGAUCGGAUUUGUUUUCGCAUUCGGAGGCUUGGAUAGUGGAGCGUGCUGGCCCCCUCUCAUGGGUCGGCUCCUCUCAAAUACAUUCGCGGAAUCGACUUUGGUCCAUUUCGGUCAUCAGUGUGAUAAACGUUGCGCUGUUGGCUAGGAUCGAGGUGCCGCAUACAAUGGUCUUCGGACAAUUUUAUAAACCAUUUGACCUCAAAUCAGGUAGGACUACCCGCUGAACUUAAGCAUAUCAAUAAGCGGAGGA